AUUGAACGCUGGCGGCACGCCUAACACAUGCAAGUCGAACGAGUGGCGGACGGGUGAGUAAUGCCUGGGAAACUGCCCGAUGGAGGGGGAUAACUACUGGAAAUGGUAGCUAAUACCGCAUACCAUCGGAUGUGCCAGGUGGUAUUAGCUAGUAGGUUGGGUAAUGGCUCACCUAGGCGACGAUCCCUAGCCGGUCUGAGAGGAUGACCAGCCCACCUGGAGCUGAGACCCGGUCCAGACUCCUACGGGAGGGAGCAGUAGGGAAUAUUCCACAAUGGUCGCAAGCCUGAUGCAACCAUGCCGCGUGUAUGAAGAAGGCCUUCGGGUUGUAAAGUACUUUCGGCGAGGAGGCGUUACUCGCAGAAGAAGCACCGGCUAACUCCGUGCCAGCAGCCGCGGUAAUUC
rnacentral:rRNA from 1 species